UGGGGAAUAUUGGACAAUGGGGGAAACCCUGAUCCAGCAAUGCCGCGUGAGUGAAGAAGGCCUUAGGGUUGUAAAGCUCUUUCGCCCGCGAAGAUAAUGACGGUAGCGGGAGAAGAAGCACCGGCUAACUCCGUGCCAGCAGCCGCGGUAAUACGGAGGGGGCUAGCGUUGUUCGGAAUUACUGGGCGUAAAGCGUACGUAGGCGGAUGCGCAAGUUGGGGGUGAAAUCCCGGGGCUUAACCUCGGAAUUGCCCUCAAAACUGCACGUCUUGAGACCGAGAGACGUAAGGGGAAUUCCUAGUGUAGAGGUGAAAUUCGUAGAUAUUAGGAAGAACACCAGUGGCGAAGGCGCCUUACUGGCUCGGUACUGACGCUGAGGUACGAAAGCGUGUGGAGCAAACA
rnacentral:rRNA from 1 species